GCAAUCUAUAACAGAGAGAUCUUCAUUAGAAGUGUUACUUUUAUUUCUGAAGUGAAAAAUAACUGUCUGGUGUACUGUAAGUGCCAAGUAAAUGUGGUUCCUUCCAAUAAAAUCAAAAGGCAGAAUAUGUUCUUUAAGACCAGGUCUCUAACAAAACUGGGCUUGGGUUGGCACAGUAGAGUAGCUAAGUCUCUGGGUGCUCAUGGAAGCGAAUACCUGAAGCCCAGAAUGGAACAUAAACCCCUGCCAUCAGGCAGUCACUUCAAUCACAGCCAUUUAGUGACCUUGCUUUCUUUAUAGGGUAGAAUCUAGAAGACAUGAUUUAGCAAUGGUUUCUAGAGGUCAUUUGAAAUCAUGACCAUUUUCACCUUGGUCACAUCCUUUCUUAAACAAGCUGUCUGCCCACAAGCAGGAGACUCCAACUGGAAAUGAAUUGACCCGGCUUUAUAUUGCUAUUUAAAUGACGGAAGCAUGCCUGAAUCUGGUUAAUCAGACUUGGUUUCCUGGAGCUGGAGGAAGUACCUGUUAGAAGGCCCUGUGGAUUCUGAGAGGUAGCCGUCAUUUGGGGAGCAGAUAUGAAUGCAGAUGGUUGAGGAGUAAGACAGAUGUGCAGAGAGGCUUAAAGAGAGCACAGCCUGUGGACUCAGGAGGCAGAAACUCAGAGCGAAUGUAGCCCAUGGGACUAAGAAACAGAGGCAUAUGUACAGAGAGACUCAGAGACAAUACAGCCUGUGUGUCUAAGAGACAGAGGCAUGGACUAAGAGACAGAGGCAUAUGUACAGAGAGACUCAGAGACAAUACAGCCUGUGUGUCUAAGAGACAGAGGCAUGGACUAAGAGACAGAGGCAUAUGUACAGAGAGACUCAGAGACAAUACAGCCUGUGGGUCUAAGAGACAGAGGCAUAUGUACAGAGAGACUCAGAAACAAUACAGCCUGUGGGUCUAAGAGACAGAGGCAUAUGUACAGAGAGACUCAGAGACAAUAUAGCCCAUGGUACUAAGAGACAGAGGCAUAUGUACAGAGAGACUCAGAGACAAUACAGCCUGUGUGUCUAAGAGACAGAGGCAUGGACUAAGAGACAGAGGCAUAUGUACAGAGAGACUCAGAGACAAUACAGCCUGUGUGUCUAAGAGACAGAGGCAUGGACUAAGAGACAGAGGCAUAUGUACAGAGAGACUCAGAGACAAUACAGCCUGUGGGUCUAAGAGACAGAGGCAUAUGUACAGAGAGACUCAGAAACAAUACAGCCUGUGGGUCUAAGAGACAGAGGCAUAUGUACAGAGAGACUCAGAGACAAUAUAGCCCAUGGUACUAAGAGACAGAGGCAUAUGUACAGAGAGACUCAGAGACAAUACAGCCUGUGUGUCUAAGAGACAGAGGCAUGGACUAAGAGACAGAGGCAUAUGUACAGAGAGACUCAGAGACAAUACAGCCUGUGUGUCUAAGAGACAGAGGCAUGGACUAAGAGACAGAGGCAUAUGUACAGAGAGACUCAGAGACAAUACAGCCUGUGGGUCUAAGAGGCAGUGAGCUUAUUAUUGUCUUCUCUUGAAAUACAUUCUUUUUGUCAAACCACUUUAACCCAAGCCAGUCAGAAGUUUUGCUGUUUUGUUUUUAAUUCUUAUAGCCAAACCACCCUUAGUGUAUUGACUGUGAUUAGCUAUUGAGUUUAAAUCACAUCAACACUAGGGUUAUCAGAUGUUAAAUUUUGUGUUUUCGUUUCAUCAGCUUCAACACUUGUAGCCUUCAGUUGUAAGUAGGUGAAAGAUAUUUUUUACAUUAGGCUAAAAAACUCUAUCUUUAAAAUAGUAAUAAUAAUCUAACAGAUAGUAGAAGCAGCCAAAAUGUUGCCACAUUGAAGGGCACAGUUUCCUUUAGCCUGAGGACAACCCUGUAGGGUAGUAUUACUCCUGUUUUUACAGAAUGAGGAAGUAAGGUGCAGAGGGGGUUCCCCACUAGCCUAAAGACUCAGAAUUAACUCGGAGCAUGAGGACUGCCAGGCAACCUGAUGCCAAGUCUGCUCUUAGCCAGUUGCACUGACUGCUCUGUCUAUUUUGAGAUUUUGCACAUGGAGAAACCAGUUACAAACAAGUUUACCAUUAACCCUUGAUUUUCUGGCCAUGGACUAACUUUGUGGUCUAGUUCUGACAGGCGCCUGAGCUCAGUAAACGGGAUCUACUCAAGAUGGUCAUGAUAUAAAUUUGUUAUUUGGAUCACAAAGGAUGGCCUGAUGGAACUAAUUAGUAGGCUGUGCAUAUAUUAGUGUUAUAUUUAGAGGAUUGUAUUACAUGUAUAAUAUGAUUUAUAACUAUAAUCUUAUUUUGCCAUCUUCCUCCUACUACCUAGCACCAAUUGCUCAUAUUAAAAAGUCCUCCUUGAAACAUUGAAAUGAGACUAUCCCAAUUCCUGAUAUACUUUAUUCACUAAUAAAAAAUUGUACCCAAGUAAAAUACCGUAUCUUUUUGAGCAAGUAGUGGAGAGGAGCUCACCCAGGUCUCUGCUCCCUUCUCUGAGUCCAGUUUCACUAUGCUGCUCCACAGGGUAGAACUAAUGUGUACCCCACUAGUCUUAAACUAGCAUGGAUACUCCCUCAUCUGCCUUCCAAGGACCUUCAAAGGAUUAUAAGCUACCUACCACACAAGAAACUAACCCUGAUUCUACCCAUGAACCAACAGUUGGUUUAGAAAACAAAAUUGAACCAUGAUUGGAUUGUUGGGGAUUAAAAUAUUUGUACUAUCUCACAAACCUAACAUUAGGUUGCAUCGUAAGCCGUUCAGCCACCGAUCCCCACGAUGGCAGCUUUAGGAAGUUUAUGAAGGAACCUGGACAGCAUCAGGAAUAGCACCUCAUUUCACCAAGACCAAAAAGGCCACUAGAACUAAGAGAUUUCUCUCCAGCAUCAAAUGGUAUGAGCAGAAGGACAGGAUUGAGAACUGAACAUUUUUGUAUGUUUAAAACACUCCUCAAUUCUUACAACUAUACUUCUGUCAAAUUUUGAUAAUUCUCAUUGCUACCAAAAUAUAACUCUCUCAGUAGAGCCAUGGUCACUAUGUUGGGUCAAUUCAAGAUAUUUUUUUUUUGUGUGUAAUUUGCUGAAUGAAAAUUUAUCUUCAUUAUGAUCAUGUUCUCUUGAGGAAUGAAGAAGGACUACUACAAGAUGGUGGAAGACAGAACUUUUUUUUUUAAGGGGGAUUUGUUUGUUUGCCUGUUUGGUUGGUUUUGUUGUUGAUGCUGUUGUUUUUUAGUCUGUGGCAUACAGUGUGAAGAAAAUGGUAUCCUUCGGUACCUAAAAACAGUACAUAAGAAACAGCUCAGCACCUGGGAACAAGAAUGAAGUCCAGGACCCACAACACACAGGUUUCCAGAGAACUCUGAUUCCAGGGCAAGGCCAUGCCUGCAGAAGUGACAAGUGUCUGGGGGACACUGACCCCAUGGAAUGGCAGCCAUGACCACUGAUGGGAGGAAGUGGCAGAUCUCAGUGAACAGAAUUGGAGUUUGGAAGGUCUCCCAAAGAAUUCAUCAAUUCAGACAUGCUCAAACUGCGAUGCCUGCCGUGUGCCCAGUGUGAACAGGGACAAUGCCAAUUCAAGUCUACUGGCUCUCUUCAUGAUCUGUUCUUUAAAGAUUUGAAGAACAAUUACCUCUGCUUACCUGAAGGAAGAAAGUAAAGAAGGAGAGGACUCCUAGGCCCAAGAAGACCAGGGAGAACAUGUUACACUUUUGCUGCUUCACUGCGUCAUCCCCAGGGCCAAAGAUCUAGAAGAGAACAUAAAAACCUGGGUGUCUGGAUCCACCCUGCUAAUUCCUACCCCAGGCAGUGGCUUGAGGGUCACAUCGGUGAAAGUAGAUUUUGAAUAUGUGGCUUUUCCAAAUUAUGAUAAAAUACAACUAGCAUACCAUUUUAACCCUUAUUAAUUGUACAGUCCAGGGGUAUUACAUAUAUGCAUCUUGUCAUAUAGCCUCUACCACCACCACCACCACCACCCCAAGUUGCCAACAUGUUUUCAUGAUCCCAAUAGACAUUUCCUUGUUUCUGCUCCUGCAUUUGUGUCUUUGGAGAUUAUAGGUCACAACUAGGUUGAGCCCAGCAAUGGGCUCCCCUUCUUCUGUCCCCAGCCCUAGGCCUCCACCUUCCAUUCUGGGGGCGCCUCCUUCCUCCAUCACCAUACACUGCUUUUAAAACACUCAUUAGCACCUGGAACAUUAUAAAUCUGUAUUUUUGUUUCUGCCUUGUAUGUGUUAGCACAGAAGAAGUUGGCUUUUGUAGGCACAACUUAGUUUCUUUUGUGAAUUGUCUUUCUAGUGACUGGAUUCUAAAAAAUUGUACCUGUAACUUAUGUAUCUCUCGAACUGCAAGAAAGUCAAGGAUUGUCUUACAUUGAAAUUUAAUAGGAUUCAGAGGGUCGUUUUACAUUUUUCAUUGUUUGUUUAUGGUCUUAAUGUAUAUCAACGCCCAAUAUCAUGAGACUAAUACAUUUUAGCUUAUUGGAGGAGAAUUUGUUCUUAUCCAAUAUGUCUCUCCAGUAAUAAUAGAAGGUAAUAAAGGAGUUUAUAUAACAUAA